rnacentral:tRNA from 3 species
GGCGGACGUGGCCAAGUGGAUUAAGGCAGUGGAUUGUGA